AAAACUUUCAACAACGGAUCUCUUGGCUCUGGCAUCGAUGAAGAACGCAGCGAAAUGCGAUAAGUAAUGUGAAUUGCAGAAUUUAGUGAAUCAUCGAAUCUUUGAACGCACAUUGCGCCCCUUGGUAUUCCGAGGGGCAUGCCUGUUCGAGCAU
rnacentral:rRNA from 1 species